UCUUGGUUAGCUCAGUUGAUAGAGCGCUUCAUUUGAAACGGAGGGGUCCCUGGUUCGAUACCAGGACCAGGCG
rnacentral:tRNA from 1 species